rnacentral:snRNA from 1 species
GGAGAGGAGGGUGAUCUGGCUGCAACAUCUGCCACCCCACCGAUCGCUAGGGUUGAUUUGUCUGAUCGGGCUGGUUUGGUGGGUGUCCCCAUCCUCCCUCAUCGCUCCAUGUGCGCCCCUCCAGGCGCUGCGGAUGACCUUCCCCAUCAGAGGAGGGCCGUUCUUUGGUCAAGGGUAUAUGAGUAGCUGUACUCCUCUGCUAGAACCUCCAAACAAGCUCUCUCAAAGUAAUUAUUUCAAAGGAGGGAUUGAGAGUUUCAUCCUCUAUGACAAAGUUAAUUUUUCCUAAAAAAUUUUAAUAAUAAAUGUUGUCCUUA